rnacentral:lncRNA from 1 species
GCAGUUGGAGUUGUGGGUGAAGUCCGGCUCCCGUAGGAGUCCGGACGUAGUUUACCUGUAAGUGAAGUCGUGGGCGGAGCUCGGCUCCCGUAGGUGUCCGGACUGAGUCUUCCUGCAGUUGGAGUUGUGGGUGAAGUCCGGCUCCCGUAGGAGUCCAGACGUAGUUUACCUGUAAGUGAAGUUGUGGGCGGAGCCCGGCUCCCGUAGGAGUCCGGGCGAAGUCCGCCCGCAGCCGGAGUUGGGAACGAGGUCCGGCUCCCGUAGGAGUCCGGAUGAAAUCUGGUAGUUAUAGGAAUCUACCGUCGGAGAAGUUCAGCCGUUGACGGAGUCCGGUGUAGUUCGGAUUGGAGUUGAACCUGGCUGGAAGGAGUCUGGAAGGGAUUCGGGGAACGACUGAUAGUUGUAGAAAGUCGGCUGGCGGCGGAGCUCAGUGGGCACUUGGGGUGGCUUAAUAGAUGACUAGGGGAACUCAUGUUGAAGGAGCUCGGGUGGUGCAGUGGGAGUUCGUCCGUCGGGAGAAUUCAGUCAGCACCGUGGGAAUCCGACUGUUGGAGAAGUCCGGAGAGAUACCAUCUGCGAUCGAAAGCCGGAGGAG